AGAGGGCAAUGCGCCUCUGCAAGCCGCUGCGAGCCUUCUGCUCCAGGGUCGGAAGUCUGCCCUUCGGUUCCAUUUGUACACAUUUUCAUAACCUGCUUCCCAUUUUUUCAUCUCUCCCCUUAACUAAGGGGAGCUUUCUCUCACGGAGAAUUCGUAAACAGUGUGCAGUUUUCUGGAUAGAAAGCAUUGGAAAAGCAGCAGAACAAAAUGAAAACGAGAACGUUAUCUAGAAUAUUUUUCUUACCAUCCUGCCUUUUCUUCAUUACUUUUAUUUCUUUCACUUUCCUUUAGCCUAUGGUAGUUACUAUUAAAAAAAGAGAAAAAAAGUAACAAAAACCCAAACAAACCACCAAUGACUACAAGAUGUGUUUUUUAGGUGAGUGGAAAUACUUUUUCUAUGAGGAUUUCUUUGAAUGAAGUCAGGCUGUUUAAUGUUUUUCUGAGGACAUGCUGCACGUGCUUGCACCUGCCUGCCUGCAGUUCUGGUAGAUAGCUGUUUCUAAGCGCGUGAAGCAGUGCAGCAGUUGCUUCAGACGUUGUUAAGAAUAAUAGAACAGAUUACAUAUACCUUCUGUCCUGAAGAUCUUGACAUAUGCAGGACUCAGGUUCCAAAACAGAAUGCAGGUGAAGUAGACAUACAUUCAAGCAUGAAUUAACUCAGUGAUUGCAGGUACGUCAUAAGUGAAGAUAGGUCAUGUACAAAGUGCUAAACAUACAAUGGGAAAUUUAGUGGCAGUUGAUGAUCAGUGCCAUUGAAAACUAUGCCAAAUCUUGUUGAUCUUUAGUUAUUAAAUACAACAGUUAUUUUACAUUUUUGGUGUACAAUCUCAAAUUACUAUUCAAAGAACAGUUACAAUUUAUUUCCUUAUUC